rnacentral:tRNA from 1 species
CAUGGAUAGCUCAGAUUGGUUAGAGCGUCAGACUCAUAAUCUGAUUGUCGAAGGUUCGAUUCCUUCUCCACUGGCCU